GUCUCUGUGGCGCAAUCGGUAAGCGCGUUCGGCUGUUAACUGAAAGGUUGGUGGUUCAAGCCCACCCAGGGAUG
rnacentral:tRNA from 1 species